rnacentral:rRNA from 1 species
AAUGCUAAUAAUAGUAGAGGUAGUACUUAAUAGAUAAUACUGUGAAUAUGCGAGAAGUACUGUAGGGGAAAUCUGAAAGUGUAAAAAAGCAAUAAGGAAAGUGUGUACCUUUUGUAUCAUGGCUUAGCUAGAGGAUAGACUAGAUUGUCUUUCUCGAAACCUAAAGAGCGACCUGAAUACCUGUAGUAGAUAGUAAGUAGUAAAUGUGGCAAAAUUUAGAUUAGAUAUUCAGGUAGAAGAUGAUAUGUCAUUCGGGUUAGGUGAUAGCUAGUUUCCCCAUAAAUGUAUAAAGUACAGGGAUCAUGUUGUUUUAGUGGCCGACAUACCGGCGCUAAAAUGGAGGUGAUUACUGAUACUACUGAGGAUAAGCUCAGUAGUAAGAUUAUGUAAUAGAAGAAGAUUAUUUCUAGGCUUAAAGUUAGCUAAGAGUUAGUUUGUUAUAAAUAAUAAUGAUGAUAAUAAAAAAAUGUGUAAAUAGGAGGAAAAUGGGGAUAUAAGUUAAUAAUCAUUAUUUAACAAGUUAGACUGCUAAGAUGAGUAUUGGGAUAAUAGCUGUAGUUUCACUAAUAGAGCGAGUGAGCACAUAAAGAUGAAAGCUAGAAUAAAUAUAAGAAAAGGAACUCGGCAAAAAGAUAUUCUCGCCUGUUUAUCAAAAACAUGGCUCUCUGUGCAUAGUAGAUAGAGAGUCGGGCCUGCCCAAUGAUAGUAUAAUUGAAUGGCCGCGGUACUUUGACCGUGCUAAGGUAGCAUAAUAAUUUGUUUAUUAAUUGUAGACUGGAAUGAAUGGUUUGACGGAGAAUUAACUGUCUCUACUUAUAUGUGUAGAAUUUGACUUUUAGGUUAAAAGGCCUAAAUUGGACAUUUAGACGAGAAGACCCUAUGAGCUUUACUGUAGCUAGGCAGGAUAGAUGCUUAGUAUCAUUUUGGUUGGGGCAACAGAAGAACAGAAAAAGCUUCUUUUUAAGAACGAAAAAAAUUAGAUCCGAUAGAUGUCGAUUAAAGGAAGAAGUUACCGUAGGGAUAACAGCGUUAUUAUUCUAGAGAGUUCAUAUCGAAAGAAUAGUUUGCGACCUCGAUGUUGGAUUAGAAUAACCUAGAGGUGCAGCCGCUUCUGAGGGUUGGUCUGUUCGACCAUGAAAAUUCUACAUGAUCUGAGUUCAGACCGGCGUGAGCCAGGUCAGUUUCUAUCUAAUGUUUAUGGUAUUAGGUUAGUACGAAAGGAUUAUCUAGUAUAAAUGAUUUAUAAAGGAUAUAUAUAUAAAGCAAAAGCCGCUUAUAGGGAUAAGUGAGGAAUUAUAUGUGAG